AAUUGUCAUCAAACAAUUUCUAGAUUAUUGGUGAUCAUAACUUAGUCGUGCUUCACUUUCUUCAUUUAUCUUUCAAAUCGUGUGGCCUAUUUAAAUCGUUACUCUUGAGACAUUGGAGUAUCCCCCAAUUAUACAUCACUUCUGAUAAAAGAAUAUAGAGAGAAUGGGUUCUGAUAAAAAAAUAGCAAUCAAAUUUCUUAUUUUCGUUCAAGUCUGCAUGUUUGUUUCAGGAGAUGCAAAAGUGAGAUGCUUGGAGAGGGAGAGAGAAGCUCUUAUAAGCUUCAAGAAAGGACUCAUUGAUGACUAUGGCUAUCUCUCGUCAUGGCAAAGUGACGAAUGCUGCAAAUGGUAUGGUGUUCGGUGCAGCAACACCACUGGCCAUGUCAUCGCCCUCCAACUAAAUUUUGCUGAUUAUGGUGGUAAAUUGCGAGGUGAGGUUGGUUCUUCUUUGCUUGAGUUGCAUCAUUUAAACUAUCUUGAUCUCGGUUCGAAUGAUUUUGGAGGCAACCCAAUCCCAAAAUUCAUUGGUUCCAUGAAACAGUUACAACACUUGUAUCUGGGUCGUUCUAACUUUUCCGGGAUUGUUCCUCCUCAGAUAGGCAACCUCACCAAUCUGCAAUCUCUUUCUCUAUCAUUUAACUCUCUUCGGAUGGAGAAUCUUGAUUGGCUUUCAAGUCUCUCUCUGUUAUCUUAUCUUGGUUUAAGUCAAAUCGACUUAAGCCAUACAAAUUGGCUCCAACAUAUCCUAAGUCUUCGUUCCCUCGAUAAAUUGUACUUGAACCUUUGUAACAUGAACGAUGCUGAACCUUCUGUUAAUUCUUCUUCUAUAUCUCUUUCUGUCAUUAGUAUGUAUAGUAAUAAUCUCACUUCUUCCUCGUUCCGUUGGUUAUCUAACAUAAGCACAAAUCUAGUGCAUAUGGACAUUUCGGGCAAUGCUUUAGAUGGCCCAAUUCCUGAUUCAUUCAUAGAGAGAUUAGUUCUUAUUGAAGAUCUUUAUCUUUCUGGUAACAAGCUUGAAGGUCAAAUCCCAAAAUCUUUGUCCAAUCUAGGUCAUUUGCGCGCCUUACUUCUUUAUGGUAAUGGCUUUAAGGGAGACCUUGAUGACUUAUUUGGAAAUAAAUCUGGGAAAGGAAUAUUUGAAUCACUCCAAAUUCUAGACUUAGCUUAUAGUAUUUUAGAUGGAUCGAUGCUAGACCUGAGAGCAUUUUCUCACUCCUUGAUCUCUCUAGAGCUAAUAUAGCAGAUGAAGCCCCAACAUGGUUGUGGAGUUUAUCCCCUUCGGUAGAAGCCAUAUAUCUUUUCGACAAUCAAAUUACCGGCACUGUUACGAAUCUCUCAUCCUCCAUCCGGUACAUAGAUCUUACUAACAAUAAUAUCUCAGGUCAUAUUCCAUUACUUCCUGCCAAUUUUGAAAUUAUUCAGUUGAGUGGAAAUAUAUUCUCUGGUUCAGUUUCAUCUAUUUGCAAAACUCGACAUGAUCAGCUUGUAUUCCUUGACAUCUCUAAUAAUCAGCUGGAUGGAGAGGUACCCAACUGCUGGGAGAAAAUGCCAAACUUGCAUUAUCUCAAUUUGGCUAACAGUUUUUUUGGUGAAAUUCCUCACUCUGUGGGGUCUCUACGUGAUCUCUUUGUACUGCAGUUGCGUGGUAAUAGGUUGUCUGGAGGGUUUCCUUCUAGUUUGGGACAUUGCCAAGGAUUGGAGCUUUUUGAUGUUGAAGGGAAUGAGUUAACAGGUGAGAUUCCCACUUGGAUUGGCCAGAUGUAUAAUAUGGAAUUUCUGAACCUUGGAAGAAAUAAUUUGGUUGGUAGUAUACCCGUUGAGAUAUGCAAUCUUACUUAUAUUAAAGUUCUAGACUUGUCUGUAAAUAACAUGUCUGGGAGAAUACCCGAUUGCUUCAACAAUUUUAAUUCACUGGCUCAAGAGAAUAUACCAGCUAAUACAAAUCGUAGGGGUUAUGUUUUGAAUUUCUACUACAGUGAUCAUCUUCCAAAUGUGGUUAUGCCAAAGUACUACGAUGCAUAUUUGUUGAUUCAGUGGAAGGGCCACGAAUCGGAAUACAGAAGAAAUCUUGUAAUUCUCAAACUCGUUGAUUUUUCAAGCAAUAGAUUGAGUGGUAACAUUCCCCAAUCAUUUUCCAGUAUGAGGGGAUUGAUUUCUUUGAAUCUAUCAUCGAAUAGUUUCACAGGAAAUAUAAUUCCAGAUAUUGGAGAGAUGUGGAUGUUAGAAUGUCUAGAUCUAUCUGCGAAUCGAUUGUCUGGGAAAAUACCCACGAGCUUGGCACAAUUACAAUAUUUGGCUGUUCUUGAUUUAUCAAACAACAAAUUCCACGGAAAAAUUCCAACGAGUACUCAACUUCAGAGCUUCAAUGCCACCGUGUAUGCUGGGAAUGAUGGACUAUGUGGCCCCCCUCUGGCAUUGUGCCCCGAGGAUAGCUUGAAGCCAUCCACCACUAAUCCGAUACAAAACACAGAUGAGAAAGGCAACAACCUAUCUUUUAUGCAAGAAGUUGGCAUAUCAAUGGCCUUUGGUUUUAUUUUCGGAUUCUGGGGAGUUAUUGGUUCUUUCAUACUAAAGAAAUCAUGGAGAUUUGCAUUCUUCAACUUCUUUGACGAUGUUGGGGAUUGGCUCUACGUUGGGACUCUUGUGCUUGUAUCCAAAUGGAGACGGACUUAAAAUAAGUUCCAGCAAAUGACGCUGAAAACGUUGAUUGUGUUGGAAGGAUUUGAAUUGUGGCGUCAAAUUCAUGUGAUGCUUGCGGAACAGGUUGAGGAAUCAAAGUCAUCAUUGUGCUAUGAUGUUCGGUGGACCAUCGGACAUCCUUUAAGUUACUAAAUUGCCCUUUUAUUUAUUUUUCAGGCCUUUUUUUUUGUAAUUUUGUUACUUCCUUUUGAAUCGGUAUGGUUUCAAACCACUUAUAAAUAAUGGAUUUCAUUGUUUUUCAAUCA